rnacentral:rRNA from 1 species
UACGGAGGGAGCUAGCGUUAUUCGGAAUUACUGGGCGUAAAGCGCACGUAGGCGGCUUUGUAAGUAAGAGGUGAAAGCCCAGAGCUCAACUCUGGAAUUGCCUUUUAGACUGCAUCGCUCGAAUCAUGGAGAGGUCAGUGGAAUUCCGAGUGUAGAGGUGAAAUUCGUAGAUAUUCGGAAGAACACCAGUGGCGAAGGCGACUUACUGGACACAUAUUGACGCUGAGGUGCGAAAGCGUGGGGAGCAAACAGG